rnacentral:lncRNA from 1 species
CCCUUUUCCUCUCAUGUCCUUCAUAUUUCCAAUGUAAUAUAUUCCCUCUUUUUCAUGAAAUUUGAUAUUUUAGAUAUCAGACAUUUAUAUCCAAACUGUCUAACCUAUCAAUACAAUCCAUUAUUGAUGUACACAUAUUAUGCAAUAACAACUAAACAUUCAAAACUAUUUAGAAACAAUUUUGUAAAUAUAUAUUAUAACUGAAUAAAAUUAAUAAACAUAAAAUCUUCACAUGAAGAAAAUUUAUCAGCCAAAAAAAUAUGCCAUACUAGUGUGUACUAAUGUUAUUGUUGUGUCAUUAUUCAUUCAAAGACCACAUAAUACAUGCGGCAUGCCACAGACAAAAAAUAACAAAAAAAAAAAAUUGACCGUUCAAUUUUAACCCGGGG